UGGGAAGCUGGAGAAAUUCUUUGGCUUCCUGAGCGCCUGCUCUUGCAGCUCCUCCAGAAAAACGGAUGCUGUGUAGGUUAUGCCGCCGUUUGAACCUAUCAAACCAAACUCUUAGCUGUGAAUGCUUCUGAAUUAUCUUCUUCUUCUUCUUCGCCAGUUGUACCGCAGAUUCCACCGCAAGCAGGGAAGAAAGCACCGCCACCACCGGUAGCACCGAAACCCAGCAGAGGCAAAGUGCAACACAUCCGUUCGUCUUCUGACCAAUUAGGUUACUGUUCGGACGUAGAUCACAGAAGUCAGACGCACAGUUACCGGCAAAAGCCGAUGUUUGCUCCGACUCCAUUUGUUUCAACUGCACCACGUGACUUACCUGGUAGUGAUUUGUGAUGCCGUUCGACUUACAAACUUUUCUCUCUCUUUCUCUACUUUCUUCCUCUAACUUUUCCCUUCUUCCUGCCUCCCGUCCUUCCAUCAUUGUCCAGAGGUUUUCAACUUUGCCUUUUGUUACUUAUUUUAUACACGUAAAUGGGCCCUGCAUCAGUGGCGAUCCCUGGUAUUUAAAAAUCAAAGCCAUAUAACCGAAAUAGGUUACAUAUAGCAUUAUGUACCGCCUUUCAGACUGUCUUCCAUAAAAAAAAACAAUGGAAGGUUUUUUAAAAUCGGAUUUGUUAUUUGCAUUUUUAUAUCCUAGUCGUGCAUUACAUGUUUUGCAUACGUAGAGGACAAGCCGCUGCGUGGUUUAUAACAAGCACACACAACCAAAUACAACGUAUAUAUGCAUAUAAAGCAUUCUGCAGGCCCACGAGAGAUAUUAGGAAGGUAUCAUUCUUAUAAAUAGAUGUUUACUCUAUUUUUUUUCUGAUCCCUAACUUUGUAGUCAUGUACAUUUUUAUCUUUACCUUCGUUUUAUUCUGUUUUUGGAAACAGUAACAGUUGCUAGCCUAAUGAAAUAAAUCGAUGCAUUUUAAUUACACGAAUAAAUAAAUCGAUUCAUUCAAGGAUAGAACAUGUUAAAAACUUUUUACAAAUAAAUAAAACAAAAACAAACAAAAACAAAAUAAAAAAUGAAUAUCAGAUUAUGAUCAGAGAGACUCGCCCUUAACGAGCGAUGGCUACUGAGUUUUUCCUUUGAAUUUGAUUUUCAAUAUAAGGACAUCGAAAAGAAACGAAACGAAACGAAACGAAACGACAUCGAACAAAAAGAAAAGCACUAAUAUGCAACUUAAUAUGAUUUAGAUAUUAUUGAAAACUUUGAUGCCCUUGUUGUUGCUGUUCUUGUUGUUGGCAAAAUACAUUUAAAUUGAAUAAAAAUGCUAAGCCAGCCUUAA
rnacentral:lncRNA from 1 species